GGGGUUGUGGCUCAGUGGUAGAGCGCUCACCUAGCACAUGUGAGGCCCUGGGUUCAAUCCUCAGCACUACA
rnacentral:tRNA from 1 species